CGAGUGGCGGACGGGUGAGUAAUGUCUGGGAAACUGCCCGGUGGACGGGGGAUAACUACUGGAAACGGUAGCUAAUACCGCAUAACGUCGCAAGACCAAANAGGGGGACCUUCGGGCCUCUUGCCACCGGAUGUGCCCAGAUGGGAUUAGCUUGUUGGUGAGGUAACGGCUCACCAAGGCGACGAUCCCUAGCUGGUCUGAGAGGAUGACCAGCCCACACUGGAACUGAGACACGGUCCAGACUCCUACGGGAGGCAGCAG
rnacentral:rRNA from 1 species